AAAAGAAAUCAUGGUUUAAAAUCCCACAUAAAAUGUUUCCCAGCUGCUGAGAAUUUAAGGAUAGUUAAUGCUUCCAGAUGCACCCAAGAAAAAUCUCAUUUACCUGAUUUUGAACCUGUCACACCAAUGAAGUUAAUGAGAUAUAAGCUCUUAAGUCGUUUAGUCACUUCUGAAUAUUUUACUUAAUGAUCAAUUCCAGAUUUUCCAAAGUAUUUAUUUUCACGUAUUUCAAAAAAGUGUUAUGAUGCAAAAUUUUAUUUUGCUUCAACAUUCCUUUGGUCUACUUGACAUCACUCUAUAGCAAUACAAAUUUAAUGGGAAAUCUCCUGUAUCUCCCUGAAAAGGAAAAUUAGUUUUUUGUUGCUUUCAUACUGAUAGGAAACGCAACAGAGGUUUGUCAUGUGCUGAGGAAUUAGGGCAGGUGGAGAACUGAGCAGAGGGAAGGGUUUGGAAAGUGGGAAGGGAGGGAGGGGAGGUGGCACCAGGUGUGAUCUGACCUUCACUGACAGCAGCAACCCAGAGGGAAAAGUGGGAAUAGGUGAAGGGAAAAGGGGUGCUGGAGCAGGCAGCAGGGAAGGGAAAUACAAAUGCACUCCUUCAGUGAGCUCUGCAGUCUCAUGAUGAGCCAGGCUGCUUGAGGGAUGAUGCAGAGCAAGGCUUGAGAGAGGAUACAAGUUCAGAUCCAAAGCAUGAUUGCAGGAUGGCAGUUCAGGGACUAGCAGGAAACAAUCCCUCCAUGUGACAGCAAGGAAAGGAAGCUGGGCUGGGCUGGUGGGGGCUGUUCCUGCAGGGAAAAGCCCCUGUGAGGGAACAGCUCUGUGUGACAGCAUUGGCAGCUCCAGCUCAGGCUCUCUGGCUUUUCCUGAACAGAGAAAUCCCCUGGCAGCACAUCCACCUGCCCUCAGGGGUGGGGUGGGUUCCAGGAGGGUGCAGCAGCAAUUCCUGGCACCCACUGUGCUGGGAACAGGAUCACAGAGCAGCACAGAGCCACUCCUGGUGCCUUGUGAGCUGUCCCUGCUCCAGUCCCACACUGCUGUGUGCUUUUCCUCUUGUGCACAUCCUAUGUUGAUGCUUUGUAGGGUGGUGGGAUGACACAGGUGUGCACAUCCUCUGUGGUGCUUUGUAGGAUACUGAGAGGGCCACAGGUGUGCCCAAGGAACUCCUCCUGUCCCCACUGCAGGGCACAGCUGUGGUAGGGAUUUGCCAGAAUAGCCCUCCACUUGUUCAUCCCAAUAAUUUCAGUAUUUUCACUGCAGUGGUUUGUCCUCAGACUUUAUUUUCAAGGUUGCUAGCACAAAGCAAAAGGACUUGCCUGAUUGACUUCCAAUGCUUCUUUAUCACUGAUGUCCCAGAUUGUCAGGGACAAUGGGGCAAGUUUCUGCCCUUCUCUCUGGAUUUCAGAUUCCCUGACCUAUUUCCAGUUUCACCCCUUUAUGGAAGCAGUGCCCCAAUCUGCUGCUCUUUUCACAGCCACCUUUGAGUGACUCAGGGCCUAGUCCUGGGCAGGUUGUGUGAAAGUACUGCUGAGUUUGUGCUCUCCAUUCCAAGAACUUGUCCUGGGUCAUUCUUGGGUUGGGGGUGAAAAUACCCUCUCAAUCCAAUAAAAAAUUAUUUAGGUGAGCUGAAAAGUGGGUUUAGAGAAAAUGCUGCAUCCCACACUUGAAUGGGUUAUUUACUCUUCAGGGGACUCAAAUAUUUUACUACUGGGCAACCAAGGGGAAGUAAGAGUGCAGAAGUUUAGUUGGGUAUGAAAUGUCUGCUCUUACACAGCCUCUCUGAACUGCUAACCAAGUGAAAGCUAACAGUGGCCACUCUCAAUCCCUGAUUCUGAGCAAACAGGGGUGGUUUUUGUCUUCAGUGAAAACUAGAUGAAAAUACAUUUUGAAGGCAAUUAGAGUAUUUUUAUUUUUGCUCACAGUAAACUGCAAGCACAAUAAAAUUGCUAGCACAAGGUUGAAGGUUAUUUACUACGAUUAUAUGCCACAUGUGAUUAAUCUCUUCCCCACUUUUUAUUCUCUUAUCAGCACGAUUUUAAAUAUCCAGAAUUCUGCAGGGUCAGAUUAAAAGGCUGGAAAUACUUAGCCCAGGUGGCUGUGUGUGCAGAAUUCACUGCCUUAACAAGGUGCUUCUUGCUGCUCUGGGGUGACCUGCACCUCCCUCCAGGACUCCCAGCACAGCAGCUUCCCUGCAAUCCUGCACAUCAGCACAUCCCCAAAAAGUGUGGCUGUUAUCAGCCACUGUCCCCUGCAGCCCCCCCACAGCACUGCUCUAAAAAGAUGACAAAUGACAGAAAAGAGAGGAACCACAGAGCCUGUUAUUCCCCAGUGCAAAGGAGCAUGUUAAACAUGGCUUUUGUUCCCAGCACCCCUGGCUGCUGUUGGGCUGCUGAGCUCACUGAGAAGCUGCCUUUGUCCUCCUCCAUGGCCUUGUGUCCCUGUCACCUUGGUUUUCAGCAGUGCCUGUGCUGCUGCAGCUGCCCAGGUUUGCAAAGGCAGCCAGGUGAAAACAGAUCCAGCCUCACACACAGAGCAGCUGGUGUGCUCUGAGUCCACAGAGUGGGCAACACAAGCUGGCUCAGAGGGCAAACAGAGCCCAAAUUGUUUGGGAUCAAGGAUGGGAGGUGGGCACAGAGGGAGGAAGAGUAGGAUGGUUCUGGAGGGCAGCCCCAGGUCAGCUUUUGGUCACUAAGGAACCAACCCCUUGGAGCCAAAGUGCUUGGUCUUCAGUUUGGUGGGAGGUUCAGGUAGAGCUGUGAAAAGUGCUGCAGGAAACUGAGAAAGGAGCCUUGCUUUGCACCUUCUGCCACCUGUUCAAUUAAUUAUUUUCCAAAGACAAUUUUAUGAUGUCAUGCAAGCUGGAAGCCAACAUUCUGCAGCCAACCUUGUCCUCAGUGUCCUUUUCUCUGGCUGAAGCAGAGUGAAUCUUUGCUGCAGAAGAGAUCUUGGUUUAAUUCAUUGUGCCUGCAGCUUUAAGGUUAGAAUACAUUAUAGACAAGAUGAUAAUUAUUGCUCUGAAGCUCUUCUGGAGAAGGCAGCGUGAGGAAAUGUCCCAUUAACAUUAAAAACAAAUCCAGGAGAAGGUGAUGAAGAAAUGCUUCCACUCUGUUACUUCUCCAUGAUCAAACAACACUUGCCUCACCCCAAAAUCUAAUGGUCUCAUGAUUAAAAAUGUAUGAGAGCUCCUGAACAUAGGAAAGAUUGUGUGUAGCAGCACAAAUUCUUGACUGAAAUGUGUAAUUAAUGCUUUCACUCAGCCUCAUGUGCAGACACAAGACCAAGGGGGCAGGCUGGCCAAGGCAUGGACUCAGGUUUUUGAAACAAUGCUGGGAACUUUUCACUUUUACACAAGGAAAAACAAGUUUGAAGCUUAUCCUUAAAUUUUCAGGGGUCUUGGAUAUAUUUGAGAAGCCAGUGAGUUAAAAACUUCACACAGCCCCAGGCACGUCUGUUAUUUGAACAAUUAACUUUACUUACAGAGAACUUAUUGGGUGUGUGAAAAUGUGUAAAAAUUGCACACUGAAAGUGGUGGUGAAGUGUAGGAGAUGCUGUGCUUGCUGCUGAGGGCUGCAGGGAUCCAGAAAAGAGCAGGGACAACGCUUCUGCAGGGUCAGGUGUAAAUGAUGCCUUUAUGUUGUACCCAGUGCACACAACCACUGCUGCUCUCUUACCACAGGAAUUCAGGAAAAUACUCAGAAUCCAGACUAAUUUCAAGCCUGUAAAAAAUACAGUUCAGUAUUGGAGCAAGUGCAACUGUCUUGGUAGUUUUAAUCUUAAUUUCUGCUUUUGGAGGAACAUUAUUCCAAAUAAUUGUUUUUUCAAGUAUAUUCCAAGAUUUAACUGGUUUAUUUCAGUUUGGUAGCACUGAGGUUUUUUUGUCCUAACUGAUGGUAAUGACAGCUAAAUGUCAGCUUCAUUUUUACCUUAGCUCAGAAUAUAAACAGAAAAGUAUACAAAAAGGAAAAUGUCCUGUUACACACUCUGUGAAUUCUUCUUGCUGUGUACCCUAAGCCAAACAGUUUUGAUUCUGCAUGUGACUCUCAGUCCAAAAGCCAUGCUGAGACAUUUUUCUCAAUAAAUUAUUUUCCAUGUUUUGCCUCUGCUAUUAACACAAAUGCAUAAAAAACCUGAACCUGGAACUUGCAUUUCAUCAAGAAAAAACCCCCACAAUAUUUUUAUAUAACAUUUUGGAUAUAUUUUAUGUCAAAACAUGAUCACCAGUCAAACCAGUGACAUCUAACCCCAAUACAUUAUUGUGACUUCUAAAAUAAAAAAUCAGAACAAAACUAAAUUUAUUAUAGCUCUGCCUUCAUUAAACACCGGGUGUUGGUGAUUUAAACACAACAAAACUCUAGUAACUCUUCAAAAGUGUCUACUAAAUAGAAUAAAAAGAAUAA